rnacentral:lncRNA from 1 species
CAUCGAUUUCUUCGGCGCCCUCCGCGCGCGCGUCUACGACGACAAGGUCCGCGAAUGGAUCAGGGAGACCGGCAUCGAAGCCAUGGGUCCCCUCCUCGUCAACCCCAAGCGCGGCUCCAAGGUUACCUUCGAGCCUCCUCGCAUGAGCCUCGACAUCCUCCUCCAGUACGGCAAGGCGCUUGAGAUGGAGCAGGAGAACGUGAAGCGCGUGCAGCUCGCCGACGCGUACCUCGACGGUGCGGUGCUCGCGGGCGAGGGCGGUUCCUCCAACACCGCGCAGUCCCUGCUCGGUUAAAUUGGUGCGCGUGUUGGAUGAAUCGAUUGGCGAAUUUUUGGAUGGGUUGCGUGAAGACUCUUAUUUGUUCCCGCCUUGGGUCG